rnacentral:rRNA from 1 species
ACAUCGCUCUUUGAAAAUUUUAUAUAAAGAGUCGAACCUGCCCAGUGAAUAUUUUUAACGGCCGCAGUACCCUGACUGUGCAAAGGUAGCAUAAUCACUUGCCUUAUAAUUGAAGGCUAGUAUGAAUGGUUUGACAAGAGUAAAGCUGUCUCUAUAGAAUUUAUUAGAAUUUGGUGUUUAGGUGAAGAAACUUAAAUAGAAUUGAAAGACAAGAAGACCCUAUCGAGCUUUAAAAUAAAAUUUUUAAAAAUAUUUGGUUCUAAAUUUAUUUUAAUAAUAUUUUUUUGGUUGGGGCGACUGAGGAACAAUAGAAGCUUCCUUAUUAAAAGUAGGCUGUUAGUUUUGAUCCAAUAAAUUGAUUGCAAGAAAUAGUUACCGUAGGGAUAACAGCAUAAUCUUUUUUGAGAGUUCUUAUCGAAAAAAUGGUUUGUGACCUCGAUGUUGGACUAGGAUAUCCUGAG